rnacentral:rRNA from 1 species
ACGAACGCUGGCGGCGUGCCUAAUACAUGCAAGUCGAGCGGAAUGAUGAAGAAGCUUGCUUCUUCUGAUUUUUAGCGGCGGACGGGUGAGUAACACGUGGGCAACCUACCUUGUAGAUUGGGAUAACUCCGGGAAACCGGGGCUAAUACCGAAUAAUCCAUUUUGCUUCAUGGCGAGAUGUUAAAAGCGGCUUCGGCUGUCACUACGAGAUGGGCCCGCGGCGCAUUAGCUAGUUGGUAGGGUAAUGGCCUACCAAGGCGACGAUGCGUAGCCGACCUGAGAGGGUGAUCGGCCACACUGGGACUGAGACACGGCCCAGACUCCUACGGGAGGCAGCAGUAGGGAAUCUUCCACAAUGGACGAAAGUCUGAUGGAGCAACGCCGCGUGAGUGAAGAAGGUUUUCGGAUCGUAAAACUCUGUUGUAAGGGAAGAACACGUACGAGAGUAACUGCUCGUACCUUGACGGUACCUUAUUAGAAAGCCACGGCUAACUACGUG